rnacentral:rRNA from 1 species
UACAGAGGGGGCAAGCGUUGUUCGGAAUUACUGGGCGUAGAGGGCGCGUAGGCGGCGUACCAAGUCAGGCGUGAAAGCCCUGGGCUUAACCCAGGAAUUGCGUUUGAGACUGGUAUGCUCGAGUACAGGAGAGGUCGGCGGAAUUCCCAGUGUAGAGGUGAAAUUCGUAGAGAUUGGGAAGAACACCGGUGGCGUAGGCGGCCGACUGGACUGUAACUGACGCUGAGGCGCGAAAGCGUGGGGAGCAAACAAG